rnacentral:lncRNA from 10 species
AUAGGAAUUGUGGUCUGGCUGUGGCACCGCUCCUAGACAUGACAAACUCCAAAAGGAAACCCAAGCAGCUAUUUGGCUCCCUUAAUUAAUGAAGUCGCCCAGUAUGGAUAAUUCAGGUUCUCUAAACAUGAAUAUGCCUUUGGGGGAAGACAGAAGAACAUGGAAGCCAUGUGAAAAAAACGGAUCCUAAGGCUUUUUACCUGUCUGUUGAACUGAGUGAAGGACCCAGAGGCCCUAUGAUGUGGUGUAGCUUCGAGAGAAGGAAGCCUAGAUCCCUGAAUCAUUGUGCAGAACAUACUUAUCCUACAGCCAUAUAGGACUGUUAUAUGAGUAAGCGCUGAAGUUAUUUCUUAGGUUAUUGAACUUUCCAAGCAUAUCUAUUACAUUAAUUAGUGUUACCUCAAUAAAAGCAUGUACUUCACAGAAC